UUUCUUAACCUUUCUCAUGUCAGUAAGAUUAUGAACAAUUUUCUUUUAAAACAGAAAGUCCAUGGAUGUAGUCUAAAUGAUUAUUGCUGUUGUGUAAUAUCACAAAUCUGCAAACCUAGGUGUACACCGAAGGGUCAUGGAAUUGUGAAUCUCAGAUUAAUCAGCACUGUGAUGUUGUUAAACAUGAAAGUUUUCUGCAGGUUUCUCAGUUAUGUCCCAUAUCAGCAUGGUGUUGAGGAUCAGCAGUCCCUGGGGAACGCGACCCCCUCAUAAAACCUGGCAGAGUCAGUCAGGAUCAGUCCCCUUAUUGCUGAAUGCUGGUGUUAUCCCACAAGAAGCAUAUAAUUCUGUAAAUGGUUGAGUAAUUCUAACAAAACGUUCUCCUUUGUGACAUUCCUUGGGAUCACCGACUGAGUCAAUUUGGAAUUUCUGCCCCGUUCACCUUCAUCACCUCGUGCCUCACAGCCACUGGGUGAAAAACAGGUUCCAGUUCUUGCUGACUGGAGUCAGACAGGAGGGAAUCUGGCCAAGGAAAGUGGAAUUGGGAUCUGAGUCACACUGAAGCAACAAUGUACACAAAUGAAUGAGUGAAUGGACAACCAGAAACACAAGAGAUUUGACAGAUGCUGGAAAUCUUGAACAACACACACAAAAUUCUGGUGGAACACAGCAGGCCAGGCGGCAUCUAUAAGGAGAAGCACUGUCAACGUUUGGGGCCGAGACCCUUCGUCAGGACUAACUGAAAGGAGAGAUGUUCCCUGAGCUGCUCAGUGUUGGCAGUGCAGGAGGCACAAUAAUGUCAGUCGGUGAGAUUUGCAGCUGAGGAUCUUUUACAUCCCGGGACCAGCAGGUGUUACAGACACAGCAAUGAAGAAUCCUUCUACAUCUGAAUGUGAUGAUAUUCCCUGGUCACCACCUGGGACUUGCAUGUCUGACAGUAGUGAAAACUGACAGGAAGCUACUGGCAUAGUGAAGGGAGCCAUGAACUUCACCAAGACCAAGAGAAAAUAUGUUUUUUGGAAUUGUCGAACCAUGUACAGCACUGGCAAGCUCACACAGAUAACCACAGUAAUGUGUCAUUACAGCCAACACACAAUGAGGAAAGAGCCCGAAAGUUGAAUCCAGUAUAUUCCAGCAUCAAGGAGACAGUGUUCCUGCUGGGAGAAUUUCAUGGGACUGGGUAAGAGGAGAGUACAGAUUGCUUUUUGUCCAAGUUAAAGCAUAGGUUUUCAUGCCUGCAGUAACCUGGGUGAAACUUCAUGAAACCCCAAUUCUGGUUGCUCCACUUUAAGAAGGAUGUGGAGGCUUUGGAGAGGGUGUAAAGGACAUUCACGAGCAUGUUGCCUGGAUUACAGAAUAUUAGCUGUAAGGAGAGGUUGAACAAUCUUUGACUGUUUACUCGGGAGCAUCGGCUGAGAGGCAACCUGAUAGAGGCUUAUGAAAGCAUCAGAGUCAUCAGUAGGGUCGACAGUCGAAGUCAUUUUCCAGGGUAAAAUGUCAUUUCCAGAAGGACAGAGAUUUAAGGUGAGGGGUGUAACAUUCAAAGGAGAUUUGUGGGUUGUAUUUUUUACACACAGUGGUAGGUGCCUGUAAUGCACUGGAAGGAGUGGUGGUGAAUCAGCAUGAUAGUACAGUUGAGAUACAUUUGAAAAAGCACAUGACCAUUCAGGAUAUGGAGGAAUAUGGAUUUUGUGCAGAUAGUUUGGUUUAGAUUAAUUUGGUGUUAAGGUUGUCACAGUCACCAUGGGCUGAAGGGCCUGUUCCUGUGAUGUACUGUUCUGUGUUGUAGGUUUACUUGAAGCUCAGUAACUAUUUGUUAUUAAUAGCUGACAGAUGUCUGAAACUCUGCGAUAACAUUAACACUCAGUCCUUUCACUUCCUCUCCGGUUUCACAGGCAGGUUUAAUUUGAGCAGGGGGCCCUCCCAGUGGAGCUGUGUUACUAAAGAGAAUAAACACACUGCUUUACAUAUGGAAAUACAAUUCUAACAUUGUGCUUUGCACCAACCAACAGGUUCACGUUUAUCACACAGAAUGAGACAAAAUGAAUCAAAAGCAAAAGGGAAAAGACACAGAGCAUUUGCCACGUGUCAGAAACGGGCUCACUGUAAUGAUGAUUGACUGUUACUGAUUGAUUUAUUGAUUAUAUUAUGGAAAUGAGCAGUGCAAAUGUAUGUACACUUGUAUUUUACGUUCUGAAGCAGUUGGGAGACUGCCACCAACUACUUAAACUGUGUUUGCUCCAACUGAGCACGGAGGUCCAUCUUGGUGAUCAGAUAACUGUGAACUGUCAGCAAUAAAGUGAAAAAGAAGGAGAAACUAAAAGAUGCCACAGACUGCCUUGUCAACAUUACAGAAUCCCGGUGUGACAUGCUGAUGUUUGUUGAUGACUGUUGAUGAGAACGAUUGUUGCCCGGUGAAUCAAGUUUAGACUGAAAAGUAACACAGACCACAAUCACUAUGGAUCACAGUGGGAGCUGGGGGUUAUCAUUGGUCUGAAAGCUCUCAGGCCCUGAAGAUCAAGGAUAACAAACCUGCAGAUUCAGAGACAUUCAAUAAUCUGUUAUUUAAUUGUCAUUGACAGGUUAGGGUUACCAGUUUUCAGCGGUCAUAAGCAACGGGUUUUAAUGCCCCUUCUUGACUGCUGAAGAACUUUGAGUUCAGGACCCAACACAAGUUUAAGUUUUAAUGAAUGAAUCUAACAGACAGGCCGGGGAACCCAGCAUUUGGGGCGACAUGGUAGUGUAGUGGUUAGCAGAGUGCUUUACAAUGCAGGCGACCUGGGGUUCAAUUCCUGUCGCUGCCUGUAAGGAAUUUGUAAUUUCUCCCCAAGAAUGUGUGGGUUUCCACCGGGUACUCUGGUUUCCUCUCACAGUCCAAAGUCUAAAGUACCUCAGUUUGAUACUUUAACUGGUCACUGUAAAUUGUCCUGUGAUGAGACGAGGAUUAAAUCGGGAUUCCUGGGCAGUGUUGCUCGAAGGGCCAGAAGGGCCUAUUCC